GGCUCAGGACGAACGCUGGCGGCGUGCUUAACACAUGCAAGUCGAGCGGUAAGGCCCUUCGGGGUACACGAGCGGCGAACGGGUGAGUAACACGUGGGUGAUCUGCCUCGUACUCUGGGAUAAGCCUGGGAAACUGGGUCUAAUACCGGAUAUGACCACGAAUCGCAUGGUUUGUGGUGGAAAGAUUUAUCGGUGCGAGAUGGGCCCGCGGCCUAUCAGCUUGUUGGUGGGGUAAUGGCCUACCAAGGCGACGACGGGUAGCCGGCCUGAGAGGGCGACCGGCCACACUGGGACUGAGACACGGCCCAGACUCCUACGGGAGGCAGCAGUGGGGAAUAUUGCACAAUGGGCGGAAGCCUGAUGCAGCGACGCCGCGUGAGGGAUGACGGCCUUCGGGUUGUAAACCUCUUUCGACAGGGACGAAGCGCAAGUGACGGUACCUGUAGAAGAAGCACCGGCCAACUACGUGCCAGCAGCCGCGGUAAUACGUAGGGUGCGAGCGUUGUCCGGAAUUACUGGGCGUAAAGAGCUUGUAGGCGGUUCGUCGCGUCGAUCGUGAAAACGUGCAGCUCAACUGCACGCUUGCGGUCGAUACGGGCGGACUAGAGUACUGCAGGGGAGACUGGAAUUCCUGGUGUAGCGGUGAAAUGCGCAGAUAUCAGGAGGAACACCGGUGGCGAAGGCGGGUCUCUGGGCAGUAACUGACGCUAGAAGCGAA
rnacentral:rRNA from 1 species